rnacentral:SRP_RNA from 1 species
CCUGCCAUGGUGCAUGCCUGUAGUCCCAUUUAUUGGGGAGGCUAUGGCAAAAGGAUGGGUUGAGCCUGGAAGUUCUGAGCUGCAGUGAACUGUGCCCAUCGGGUGUCUGCUAAAUUUGGCAUCAAUAUGGUGACCUCUCAGGAGCAAGAAACCCCAGGUUGUUUAAGGAGGGUUGAGAUGGUCUAGGUUGACAACAGAGCAGGUCAAAACUCCCAUACCGAUCAAUAAAGGAGCAGAUUCUCACAUGCUGCCACUCAUCAUCUAUAUAUUUUAAUGCUUAUGAAUAUUUCC